UACGAAGGGGGCUAGCGUUGUUCGGAAUCACUGGGCGUAAAGCGCGCGUAGGCGGGUCGUUAAGUCAGGGGUGAAAUCCCGAGGCUCAACCUCGGAACUGCCUUUGAUACUGGCGACCUGGAGUCCGGGAGAGGUGAGUGGAACUCCUAGUGUAGAGGUGAAAUUCGUAGAUACUAGGAAGAACACCAGUGGCGAAGGCGGCUCACUGGCCCGGUACUGACGCUGAUGCGCGAAAGCGUGGGGAGCAAACAGG
rnacentral:rRNA from 1 species